rnacentral:rRNA from 1 species
UACGUAGGGGGCAAGCGUUGUCCGGAAUCAUUGGGCGUAAAGAGCGUGUAGGCGGCCAGAUAAGUCCGCUGUGAAAACUCGAGGCUCAACUUCGAGCUGUCGGUGGAAACUAUUUGGCUAGAGUCCGGAAGAGGAGAGUGGAAUUCCUGGUGUAGCGGUGAAAUGCGCAGAUAUCAGGAAGAACACCCGUGGCGAAGGCGGCUCUCUGGUACGGAACUGACGCUGAGACGCGAAAGCGUGGGGAGGCGAACAGG